GACGAACGCUGGAGGCGUGCAUAAUACAUGCAAGUCGAACGCAGUGGGGAAGGGUGAGUAACACGUGGGUAACCUCCCAUCAGAGGGGAUAACACUUGGAAACAGGUGCUAAACCGAUAUUGAUGGAUGGACACGCGGUGCAUUAGAUAGGGGGUGAGGUAACGGCUCACAAAGGCCAACAUGGAUAGCCGGCCUUAGAGGGUGAGCGGCCACACUGGGACUUAGCAGCGCACCAGACUCCUCCGUGAGGCAGAAGUAGGGAAUCUUCGGCAAUGGGCGAAAGUCUGACCGAGCAACGCCGCGUGAGUGAAGAAGGUUUUCGGAUCGUAAAACUCUGUUGUUAGAGAAGCGGUAUCUAACCAGAAAGCCACGGCUAACUACGUGCCAGCCGCCGCGGUAAUAC
rnacentral:rRNA from 1 species